rnacentral:lncRNA from 1 species
GACACUUCUCCCUCACUGUGCUUUCGUGUCUUGGGUAUAUUUUCUUUCUUUUUUUUGUUAAAGGUCUUGGGUAUAUUUUCUGUUUCUGCAAAUUUUCUCCUUUUUAAUUCACAUUUUCAGGACUCCGUUGUUUUUUAUAUUGAACUUAAUUUAAACCGAGUAAACACUGAGUCUUUUUGGUUGAUGACAUUUGAUUUUAAGCGUACUUAAAAACAAAUUUCAAAUAAGGAUGCAUGUAUUUUAAUCAAAAAAAUAAGGAUGCAUGUAUCUAUCACUUUUGGUAACUGUCUAGCGUAGUAAGAUAUCCACCAGUAGUGAGAAACAGGUUGAAUAUACAUCUUCUUCUUUCGUUAGUUUCAGUAAUAUGAUAAAAGGAAUCAGAUUUUCUUUUUUUUCUUUUUUUGACUGAAGGAAAAAUAUUAUUUCGGAAAAAAUAAAGAAAAUGCAAAACAGUUCUCCUUUUUCAAGGAAAUGUAGGUAUUUU